AAAAGCUUUUUUUUUUUUUAUGAUUCCAGGAAGGCCUUUGAGAGGCGAUAAAUGCGGGAGGUGACCUUCAAACCAUGACUGAUUUUGCAUCUUAAGCCUGCUUCGUUUUCAGCAGAAUACAUGCUCUCAGAUCUGUCAUGAGCUUCUGAAAAUCUCCGGUCUACUUGGAAUCUGAAUAUGAGCUGCAUGUAUUUGAUCUUAGUGAGAAGCUGUGACGAUUGCAUGUAGGUAUCUACAAAAGCUGGAUCUAAUGAAUUCAAAGAAAUAACAGACAACUUAUAAUGAAGAGAGAAAAAGCAGAAAAAACUCCAGAGAAGUGUUCUGAGGUAAUGAGUUUAAAAUGAUUUAAAGAUCACUGGAGACCUAAAAGGUACAGCUACUCUAGCUUGUUCCCAAUGAUCUGUUUGUUAAUCACUAAUAAUAUCCAUGGACCAAAACCCUCGAGUCUGCACUUUCUUGAUGGAGUUAACUGCUAUAAGGGCAUUGACUGAUUUGAUGAUGGAARGGGCUUUUGGUGACAGCUGCUAGAAGAAGGAUAAAUCAAAUGCACAGAAGAGUUUGAAGACCGAAAAUAUAUAUCCAUGAACCAGGAGGUAACCUUUAAAAUAUUACAGAACUUUGAGACUUCA
rnacentral:lncRNA from 1 species